GAUGAAGAACGCAGCGAAAUGCGAUAAGUAGUGUGAAUUGCAGAAUUCAGUGAAUCAUCGAAUCUUUGAACGCACAUUGCGCCCCUUGGUAUCCCGAGGGGCAUGCCUGUUCGAGCGUCAUUUAAACCUUCAAGCUAAGCUUGGUGUUGGGUGACUGUCCGCUUCACUGCGGACUCGCCUCAAAAUUAUUGGCGGCCGGUACAUUGGCUUCGAGCGCAGCAGAAACGCGAACUCGGGCCCGUCGUAUUGGCUCCCAGAAGCUAUCUUCACAAUUUUGACCUCGGAUCAGGUAGGGAUACCCGCUGAACUUAAGCAUAUCAAUAAGCGGAGGA
rnacentral:misc_RNA from 1 species